rnacentral:ncRNA from 1 species
GUAGCGGUCACCGCAAGGUUUUCUGUCGUAUCGGCAGAUCAGACUUCAGCGCUGCGCCUGGCGUAGCGCUACCGGCCUCGCCGGACUUUGCUAACCCGCCGGUGCAUACACCGGC